CAAUAAUUGACUUUCAUUUUUGUUGUCUGUUGCAGCAAAAAUUAGGUAAUGCAACAAAAUUCCUAAACAUUGCAUAAUGGAAAAUAAUUCAUUUGUGUUAGGACAACAUAAUUUAAUUUGUGUUGGAAUUGUAAAAUAACCUUAGGUUGUAUUUUGAUUUACCAGCAUGCUUUUCAAGGCUUUUGUAGACUGAUGGAGUUAAUGCUAAAAUUAAUGUUUUUUCUGUGUGUUUUCAACAUGUGCUGCUGCUAGCUUAUACGUUAAUGAGAUUUAAUUGAGUUAAUAUUUUUUUUUUUAUUAAGUAAUAUUUUAUUAAGCUUCCCGCUAUACAAAAUAAGGUUACUGAGUGAUUAAAUGUUAAGAAAGCCCAUUUCCAACAGUGUCCACAAAUGAAUUAGGCCUACGAGAUUUUUUUCCCUGUAGGCUAUUGAAACUGCAGGUGGCGCCAAAGGCAUCGUUAAGCAGCACAUGUCCUGAGACUUUUUGGAAACUUCUUGAGAGGACUGAAGAAAGUCAAACUCCAAACAGGAGCGAGAGAAGCAGAGAGCAGUGCAGAGGACCAUCCGCCUACAACCUUACACCUCUGCGGACAUCCGAGGCUUAGUAAAGUCCAGAAGAGCUCUGCAUUCUCCAGCUAUAACACUGACCUGUGAGAAGAGCUUGCGGUGGAUGUAACAGCGCUCAAAGCAGAAGAAAUGAGCAGAGGAACAGUGAAAGAGCCGCACGGAUGCCAGCGCAACUUCACACUGAUCAUCGUGUUGCUCGUAGUCAACUGCGGCGCAGAGAUUCCUUCAGACCCAAACGUGGUGGCCGCCUCCAGUUGGAACAUGUCCAGUGGAGCUGAAAGAGAUUCCACAUCCAAGAAAGAACAUGCACAUGCCUUCCUAUUUAUCUCAGUGGCUCCUUUGAAACUGAUGUAGCAGAAAUGGUACGAUAGACUUGGACAUCCAUUUCCCUCACACUCCCCUCCAAUAACUAUCAGCACAGUAAACAAAGAGCCUACUGUCCACACACAUCCACACUGCCAACAAAAGAUGCCAUUGUCUCGAUCCUGCUAACUUUGGAUGGUCAAAUUACUUCUACAAAUCAUCUGCCGAACUAUAAUAAAUAAACAACUGAAUUACA
ensembl:lncRNA